GAAAUGCAAACUUCAUCUAGAUUUCACAGAAACUGAGAGAAACGAUGAGAGGAGCAUCAUGGCUGAUCUUGCUGACAUCAGAACUUCUCUGGCCAUCAAGCCCAGUCCUCCCAGUUCCUCUGACUGUGAGUCCCAGCAGAUCUCAGUUCUUUAAGGAUGAAUCAGUGACUCUGAUCUGUGAGGAUGAAAACGGAUCUGAUGGAUGGACUGUGAGGAGAAACACAACCAGAGACACCAGAGCUGAGUGUGAGGACUGGGGUCAACCAGCGAACUCUUCAUGUACUUUAACUGGUCUUGUCCCAUUAGACACUGGUCUGUACUGGUGUGAGUCCAUCAGUGGAUCCUCCAGCAGCAUGAACCUCACUGUUGGUAAGAUCAGACUGUGGAGUUAGUGUUGCUGAAGCUGUGUGGAAAUGGAUGAAAUGCUGUAGUUUGUCUCUGUGUUGAGGUGGAUCAGUGAUCCUGCAGAGUCCUGUCCUCCCUGUGAUGGAGGGAGAUGACGUCACUCUGAGCUGCAGAGCAAAGAAUCCAACCCACAACCUCCCAGCUGCUUUCUAUAAAGAUGGCUCCUUCAUUGGUGAUGGACCAUCAGGUCACAUGACCCUCCUCCAUGUUUCCAGCUCUGAUGAAGGCCUCUAUAAAUGUAACAUCAGCCGUCAUGGAGAGUCUCCAUCCAGCAGGAUCUCUGUCAAAGAGAGACUCUCCUCCACUCCUCCUCCACCUUCCUCCUCUCCUCUUCCUCUCUCCAUGGUCCUCUCUCUCUCCUCUCUCGGUUUUCUGCUUUUCUUCCUGUUCCUGGUUCUGCUGACUCGGCGCCUCUGCAGGAAGCCAGCAGGCAGAAACUCAGCAGCUGUUUAUUCACCAGACAGAACCGGGUCAGUCACUGCUGCAGGUCAGUUCCUGGGUCAGAACCACUGAUCUGAAACCAGCUGACACCAGAACACAGAACCAAUAACUAAUCGAUCAUCUGAUCUGACUGGAUCUGAAACAGUUCAGACUCAGCAGCUGAUUAUUCAUCCACACCAGAAGCUCCAGACACAACAGAACCCGGUCCAGAACCCGUUUACUCAUCGGUGAGGAGAGAGAGAGACGUGACGUACGGGCCGGUCAGCAUCAGGACCAGGAGAGAACCAGCGGCGGUACCAGAACAACACGUGGUUUACUCCCUGCUGAAGUGGAGAGUGACCCAACCGGACCCGGCCGACCCGUCCAGCUGCUGACCUGACCUCUGACCUCUGACCUCUGGACAGCUGCGGUCCGAACCCAGAGCCCGACCAGAACCAUCUGGUUCUGUUGAUCUGGGUUCUGUCCUGCUGACUCAUCAUUUAAAUUCAUUAUAACCUGAAAAAAAUGUUAAUAUUUAUAGAGAGAAAAUAUUUAUGUUACCAAACCAGAGAUUUCAGUAAAAUUCAGUUUUUAUUUUUUUCAUGACUUUGUUUAUUCUUCAGGUUGUUGCAGGAAUUUAAAGUUGAUUAUAAAAGUUUAAAGCUGAUUAUAAAAGUUUAAAGCUGAUUAUAAAAGUUUAAAGCUGAUUAUAAAAGUUUAAAGCUGAUUCUAAAAGUUUAAAGCUGAUCUGGGAAGAUCUUUGUGUCACAUCUACUUUAUGAAGUUCUAGUUGAAUCAGAAAAAUCAGCUUUGAUUAUUUAUUGAUGCUGAGAGAAAAUCAGCAAACUGAAGAGAGACGAAGAGGAGCCAGACGAACCUCUGGAAAGACACAAAACAUCUGGAUUCCUGCCCCUCCACUGGGCAGCAGGGCAACAGGGAGGGGCAAUAAAUCCUGUUGGGGUAAAAAAGAGAGGGAAAGAAAUGAAUAAAAGAUUUUUAUUGAU